rnacentral:SRP_RNA from 1 species
UUAAUGAUGCAAUAUAUAUGUUUUGAACCAGGUCAGGACCGGAAGGUAGCAGCCUUAAGGAAUUGUAUAUAUGUGCAUCAUUUUUUU